UACAGAGGUCUCAAGCGUUGUUCGGAUUCAUUGGGCGUAAAGGGUGCGUAGGCGGCGCGGUAAGUCGGGUGUGAAAUUUCGGAGCUUAACUCCGAAACUGCAUUCGAUACUGCCGUGCUUGAGGACUGGAGAGGAGACUGGAAUUUACGGUGUAGCAGUGAAAUGCGUAGAGAUCGUAAGGAAGACCAGUGGCGAAGGCGGGUCUCUGGACAGUUCCUGACGCUGAGGCGCGAAAGCGUGGGGAGCGAUCCGG
rnacentral:rRNA from 1 species